CGUAGUCUGCCAUACGCAGGAAGACCCGCUGAACUGAAGCAUCUCAUUAAGCGGAGGAAAAGAAACUAACUAGGAUUCCCUUAGUAAAGGCGAUCGAAAAGGGAACAGCCCAACGUCUUAAUCCCGCAAGGGAAAUGUAGUCGGUUCACCUAUUGCACUGGUCUAAGUCAGAUGGAAUGCUGCGCGAUUCAGAGUAAAAGCCUCGUAUGACCAACCGCAAGCUUACGAUGGACCGGGGAGAGUCGGAUACUUUGAGAGUAGUGUCUUAAGGGGGUGGUAUGUCCCAUCCAAGGCUAAAUAACGUGAGGAGACCGAUAGAUUACAAGUAGUGUGAACGAAAGAUGAAAAGAACUCUAAAACAGAGGGUGAAAAGUUCCUGAACUUGCUUAGGGUUAAGGCUAUUUAUAGUACCCGUCUUGAAACACGGAUUAGGGAGUUUAUCUGUAGUGCGAGUCUUUGCACGUUAACUGUAAAGGCGUAGAGAAAGCAACUGGCGUUUUGCAUGGCUACUGAGCAUUACUGAUAGGACCCGAAAGGUGGUGAACUUUGCCUGCACAGGUUGAAGUCAGGGGAAACUCUGAUGGAGGACCGUACGGGUUAUUGAUGUGCAAAUCAUUUUUCUGAUGUAGGUAAAGGUGCGAAAGACUCAUCGAACCACCUAAUAGCUGGUUUCCUCCGAAGUUUCCCUCAGGAUAGCUGUAAUGCAUUUAGUUAAGGGGAGUAGAGAUAUGGGUAGAGGUGCAGGGAGCCUUCGGGUUCUCAACUUAUUUCCAAACUUCGAACCUCCUUGUUAGGCAUUUACCUAACUGGAAAUGCUUAAAUGAAUUAGCGUUACAAGUGGGCUCUGACCGGUAAGCGGUCAUGGCGAAAUGGGAUGAACCAUACGUCUGAAUAAGGUGCCGAAAUGUACUAUCACUGAUACCAUAAAGGGAGUCCAUGUAUUUAGACAGCAGGUCGGUGCCCCUAAAAGCAGGUAUCCGCUAAAGAGUGUGUUAAAACUCACCUGCCGAAUACUAGGGCCCCGAAAAUGAAUGGCGCAUAUAGUACUACCGAUCUCAGACAUCAGUUCUAUUGAACUGAGAGUAGGGGGAUGUGGACAUUUUUGUGAAGGUGCAAUGUGAGUUGGACUGGAAGAAUGUCUAUUACAGAUCCUAAUUGAAGUAGCGAUUAUCCAGGCUUGUAUCCUGGGGGCUGAUGAGGAGUAGGGUUUCUGGACAACUUAAACAGAUCCAGAGUUAGUCGAUCCUAAUCUCAAUAAUGGGAGAAAGGGAGUACAGUUGAUAUUCUGUAACUGACAACAGUUCGCGGCAACGCAUACUAUUUUUCUCCGCCAAUCUUAUACCGUUGGUAGGGAUCUCUUUCCUACAUGACAGUACUAAUACCCAGGGAAACUGGUCAUCAGGCGAACUGCGG
rnacentral:rRNA from 1 species